rnacentral:rRNA from 1 species
UACGAAGGGGGCUAGCGUUGCUCGGAAUCACUGGGCGUAAAGCGCACGUAGGCGGAUUGUUAGUCAGGGGUGAAAUCCUGGAGCUCAACUCCAGAACUGCCUUUGAUACUGGCGAUCUCGGAGUCCGGGAGAGGUGAGUGGAACUGCGAGUGUAGAGGUGAAAUUCGUAGAUAUUCGCAAGAACACCCAGUGGCGAAGGCGGCUCACUGGCCCGGUACUGA